rnacentral:rRNA from 1 species
CCUACGGGAGGCAGCAGUGAGGAAUAUUGGUCAAUGGCCGAGAGGCUGAACCAGCCAAGUCGCGUGAGGGAAGACGGCCCUACGGGUUGUAAACCUCUUUUGUCGGGGAGCAAAGAGAGUCACGUGUGACUCAUUAAGAGUACCCGAAGAAAAAGCAUCGGCUAACUCCGUGCCAGCAGCCGCGGUAAUAAGGAGGAUGCGAGCGUUAUCCGGAUUUAUUGGGUUUAAAGGGAGCGCAGGCGGAGGUGCAAGUCAGCGGUCAAAUUGCGGGGCUCAACCCCGUACUGCCGUUGAAACUGCAUCUCUUGAGUGCGCGAGAGGUAUGCGGAAUGCGCGGUGUAGCGGUGGAAUGCAUAGAUAUCACGAAGAACUCCGAUUGCGAAGGCAGCAUACCGGCGCGCAACUGACGCUCAUGCACGAAAGCGUGGGUAUCGAACAGGAUUAGAUACCCCGGUAGUC